CCGUGCAAAGGUAGCACAAUCACUUGUCUCUUAAAUCGAGACCUGUAUGAAUGGCAUCACGAGGAUUUAACUGUCUCCCUUCACCCAUCAGUGAAACUAAUCUCCCUGUGAAAAAGCAGGGCUACUUAUACAAGACGAGAAGACCCUAUGGAGCUUUAAACUAAUAACACUUGCUCACUUUUCCAUAAUAUUCAGCAUAAUGCUUAUACGUUUUCGGUUGGGGUGACCCUGGAGAAAAACCUAACCUCCAUGCUGUUAAAUAUAAGAACCUCAAUUCUACAAUCAACAUAUUGACAUAAUUGACCCAAACAUUUGACCAACGAACCAAGUUACCCUAGGGAUAACAGCGCCAUCCACUUCAAGAGCACAUAUCGACAAGUGGGCUUACGACCUCGAUG
rnacentral:rRNA from 1 species